UGAUGAGCAUCAUCGCAAAUAUGGCGCUGGGGCGUAGUAAUGUUAUUGAAUCAGAAAGAUUCGGCCGAUCGGAAGGACAACACUUUUCAACACAAUUAAAGCGCAUCAUAAACAUAUUUUUAUUCAAUGGAAAACUAAUCUCUUUCUCUGGUUGACAUAGGAAAUACAUUUCCACAUAUUUGAUAUGUUCUCGAGGGAAACAUAUGACAGAAGAGAACUGACAAAAUUGUAAUUGUAAAUGUUGGUGGAUGCUGGUAAAAUGGUGAAGUCAAAGGCAAGGGUGACUGUGUUGGAUUAUGAAAUGGCUGCAACCUGGAGCAUAGACUUCACCUUUGGAUUGUCUAUCCUUUUCUACAAUUUAGGUUAAUGGCAUUAUGUUGGAAUAUAACCUAGAUGCAUGUGAAACAAGACAUUAAAUCGCCAUGGAUUCUUGGAAUGUUAAAAAAUAAGACCAUAUGCACAAAUUACCGAUGAGAAGGAUGUCAUACACUAAGUCCAGGGCUUGCAAUACCAUAGAUUAAAAUCAGACACAUUUUGUGUGAGCACUGGAUAAUACACUGUUAAGGGAACAAGUGUGGGGGAACUCAGAAAUUAAUUAUGCACCGUAAAUCUAUUGGCGUGCCGUGUAUUGGUCACAUAAAGUAGCAGACGUGUUAGCGGUCGCCUCCACACCUCCAUUAGAUGAACUCCAUGGAAAUGACAAGACAAAUGUACUUAUUGUAAGUCGCUUUGGAUAAAAGCGUCUGCUAAAUGCCCUAAAUGUAAAAGUGAAUGCAAUGAAAACGGCUUUGCAUCAUAUAAUAGACUAUAGUGAGAAAUAUGUGAACAUCCUUUGUACACUUAUUAUAUGGUGCAUUGUGGUUAUCAAGAAGAGUAUGGUAUAGUGAACACUAGCAUUUCAGACAGCACAACAAAAUAUUGAGCUACAGGUGGACCAAUACACGUUUAGCAAAGGACUCCAUGGCAUAAAUUAAUGGCUUCUCCCACCAAAAUGUAUUUGGAUUGAAAAUGAAAUGUGAGCAGCACCUGCCUUGAAGACCAUGCCAAGACUUGUAAUGAAGCAUGAUCACACAAACGAACCAAUUGUCAACUAUGUACAACAAACAAUUUUUUUAAAGGAUGGCAUCAUUCAUAUCUUGGCAUGUCAUGACCUAUUUGUGCUUAGCCAGGGGCAGUGGUUCUCAAACCUCUCAUACCAAGUCCCACCAUUAUGACCGAUGUUAUAAAGUCACAAAAUACAGGAGCGUUGGCCUGCGUCCCUAUUCAGCUACACAGAGCUCACUCAGGAGACACAUUUAUUCCUCCAACUUAUUUUAAACCCCAUUUAAUGACCUCAUGUUUAAUUUAUUUCCAUUAAUGCUAGUAUUUCGAUAUUGUUCUUUAAUAAAUGUGAUACACUUUUGGAGGUACCACUAAAUUACGCACGCGUACCAGUUUGAGAACCAAUGGCCGAGGGCAAACAGCCAGCUGGGGGGCAACAUUUUUAUAAAAAACAAAGCCUUGUCUUCCUAUAAAGGUUAGAACAAGGUCAAAAGGUCAGUAGAUUUGCAAGUGAACCAAUGAUAAAUGGAAAACUGACAAACAUUAAUGACCAAGAACAGACCAAAUUAAAUGGAUUCCAACACAAAUCGCUGGUUAUUAUUUUGACCCGGGAAGAUUCAAAGAUUCCAAACUCUACGAAUGGACAGAAAUCGAAAUGACAGAAAUAUUUUUCUUACCCCAUUUUAUUGAUCUUUUCACUCAUUUAUAUAUAUUUAUAUAAAGAAAAACGAAAUAGUAAAAAGCUAAUUCAAGUGAAAUCAAAAUGUAUCAAAUGUCACAAUAAAAUGUCAAUUUUAUUUUCCAACCCCAUCAAAGCAGCCGUAUCUACCCCAAUAAAAAACAAACAUCUGGAAGGUACUUAUUUACACGGAAACACACAAGCUACCUUCUGUACAGUGCAUCAAAUGCUUACGGCAGUGCCCGUUCGUCACACACACACACACACACACACACACACACACACACACACACACACACACACACACACACACACACACACACACACACACACACACACACACACACACACACAUUACAAAAGCGAAUGAAAUACGUAAAAAAAAUAGAUUUUUGGGAAAUUUAAAGGUUUGUAGGGGGCCCCUCGGGGCGUUUCAGUCCCGACUCCGCCCCUCGGGGCGUUUGAGUCCCGACUCUGCCCCUCGGGGCGUUUCAGUCCCGACUCCGUCCCUCGGGGCGUUUCAGUCCCGACUCCGCCCCCGGGUCACAUGAAGUCGUUUAGUUCGAGGUCCAAGGCCGCGGCCAUCUCGUCCGCUUCUGAGCUGCUGCCCUCCUCUUCCUCGUCGUCUUCGUUAUCGGCGUCCUGGUCGACGGGUUGGUCUUCCUGUUUGGAGGGCGAGCUGCUGGCCCCGCCCUGCUCAUCCUUACUGUCCUCCUCAUCCUCACCCCGCUCCUCCUCCUGGGCCUCGUCCAGCUUGCGCUUGUGACCCCUGGUAGAGUGAGACAGAGAGAGAGUUAGACAGAGAGAGAGUGAGACAGAGAGAGAGUGAGACAGAGAGAGUGAGACAGAGGAGAGUGAGACAGAGCAAGAUGAGACGGAGGAGAGUGAGACGGAGGAGAGUGAGGCAGAGAGAGAGUGAGACAGAGCAGAGUGAGACAGAGAGCAAGUGAGAGAGACAGAAAGCGAGUGAGACAGAGAGUGAGACAGAGAGAGAGAUGAGAGCAGAAAGAGGGGAGGCAGACAGAUUUAGAAACGCAGCUCUCUUAGGCUUUUAUCUUUUGUGUAUUGUUGUCUUCUCAAUUAUUUGUUGUCUUGCAGACUUAAAUUAUUUGGGAGAAAGCGUACAGUAUUAUGCAAGCAGUCUUAUGGAAAAAAAAAAAGAAUAAUCCGCCUUCCAUUUUUCAUGGUGGAGUUUUAAACUCGACACUACCACUUGAGUUAUAUAAUAGAUAUAAUUCUUCAAGAGGUAUUGAGGAGGAGCUGGGGUGACGGUUUCUUCCCAGCGAUCAUUCAAGACCCUUUCCUCUAAAAACGGCCACGGCCUUCACUAAACUCUGAGCCAGUGAGCGUUGCGGGACGUGCGUGUGCGCAGACAAGGUCUCAAACCAUUAAUCUUGAAAGAGACGGCCCACGAAAAACAAACAGAUCAGCUGCUAAACCCUGAACAAGGGACUCGCGUCGAGUGACAAAAGCAAAGGGAAGAAAUGACAAGAAGGAAAUUCAUUCGUCAAGCACCCCGCCGCCGCGGUCUAACCAGAGCUCUGAAGCAGACAAGUGCCUUCCAUAUCCGCCACCAGCCCUUGUACUCUCCCCGCCCUGAAGAGAUGGGUGAGGGGGCUCAGAGCGCUGGAGACGGGAGGCCACCAGAUAGCAGAGCUCUGGUGAGAUCAGGAGGGCAGAGCUGGGUAAAUAAAGCCCAUGGCUGCCAGAUGAGAAGGUGGAGAGGUGUGCACAUGUACCCGCCAAUUUCACAGCAUGGACAUUAUUCCGGAGGGAAGACCACCGGAGUGAAAGCAUGACAUUUCACUCCUGUGUGCUUGUGAGUAUGAUUGAUGCCUGGAGAGCUUCACAUGUCUUUCCAUACCAAUAAAUCAACCAUUGUUUUUUCACAAGUAGAUGUCGCAUCUACUUGAGUUGAGUAGAUGCGGCGGUGUGUGGCUCAGGAGGUAGCGCGGGUUGACUGGUAACCGUAAGGUUGCUAGUUCGAUCCCCGGCUCCUCCUUGCCUAAUGUCGAGGUGUCCCUGAGCAAGACGCCUCACCAUAACUGCCUUGCUUGGCUGACACAGAAGGCCUGUGGAUGAAUGGGUGAAUAUUAGGCAAUAUUGCAAGCGCUUUGAGUUUCCAUUGGUUAGAAAGGCGCUAGAUAAAGGCAGUCCUUUUACCAUGAGGCGCAAGACAAACAAACACCAGGGGUUUAAUAAAUGGACAAUGGCUGCAAAUAAGGGACAAGUUGCUUCAUUGCUCAUAUUGUACCAUGGCACAGACCAUAGACCUGGCUGGGACCCCCUCAGCGCACGUCUCGUUAUCACCAUGCUAAUGAGUCAGAUAGGGGCUGGGGUGGUGGCGCGUUACCAUCGCCAGUGUGAGAAGGAGUGACACCGAGGCCACACACUGCUCUCAAUAGACCUGCGUGUACACACAAUCCUUCCGGUCUCUCGUGUUUGCUCACACAUCGACACACACACACUUAAAGGUUAGAUGUCAGUUAAGAUUGCAUCCCCC
ensembl:lncRNA